UAGGGAAUCUUCCGCAAUGGGCGAAAGCCUGACGGAGCAACGCCGCGUGAGUGAUGAAGGUCUUCGGAUCGUAAAACUCUGUUAUUAGGGAAGAACAAAUGUGUAAGUAACUAUGCACGUCUUGACGGUACCUAAUCAGAAAGCCACGGCUAACUACGUGCCAGCAGCCGCGGUAAUACGUAGGUGGCAAGCGUUAUCCGGAAUUAUUGGGCGUAAAGCGCGCGUAGGCGGUUUUUUAAGUCUGAUGUGAAAGCCCACGGCUCAACCGUGGAGGGUCAUUGGAAACUGGAAAACUUGAGUGCAGAAGAGGAAAGUGGAAUUCCAUGUGUAGCGGUGAAAUGCGCAGAGAUAUGGAGGAACACCAGUGGCGAAGGCGACUUUCUGGUCUGUAACUGACGCUGAUGUCCGAAAGCGUGGGGAUCAAACAGG
rnacentral:rRNA from 1 species